AGAAUGAACGCUGGCGGCAUGCCUAACACAUGCAAGUCGAACGAGACCUUCGGGUCUAGUGGCGCACGGGUGCGUAACGCGUGGGAAUCUGCCCUUGGUUCGGAAUAACAGUUGGAAACGACUGCUAAUACCGGAUGAUGACGUAAGUCCAAAGAUUUAUCGCCCAGGGAUGAGCCCGCGUAGGAUUAGGUAGUUGGUGUGGUAAAGGCGCACCAAGCCGACGAUCCUUAGCUGGUCUGAGAGGAUGAUCAGCCACACUGGGACUGAGACACGGCCCAGACUCCUACGGGAGGCAGCAGCAAGGAUUUUCGCAAUGGGCGCAAGCCUGAACGAGCAACGCCGCGUGGAGGAUGACGGCCUUCGGGUUGUAAACUCCUUUUGGGGGGAUGAUAGUGACAGUACCCCCCGAAUAAGGCUCGGCUAACUCUGUGCCAGCAGCCGC
rnacentral:rRNA from 1 species